rnacentral:rRNA from 1 species
UGCAUUGGAUUGAGAACAAUGUACAACUCUUAUCGAUAAGCCAUUGGAGGGCAAGUCUGGUGCCAGCAGCCGCGGUAAUUCCAGCUCCAAUAGCGUAUAUUAACGUUGUUGCAGUUAAAAAGCUCGUAGUUGAAGUGUGGGUGAUCGCUGUUGUGAGACUUCGGUCUCUCGAUAGUAAGUCACCCCCUUCCAGUAUCCAGUAGUGGGUAUUCACUUACUUACUAUUGUGUGUUGGUCGUUUACUGUGAGAAAAUUAGAGUGUUCAAAGCAGGCGUUUGCUUGAAUAGAUUAGCAUGGAAUAAUAAUUGAAGGCUUUCGUGUUCGAUUUGAUUGGUUUGUUCAUGGAAGCAAGGUUAAAAGGAACAGUUGGGGGUAUUCAUAUUCACUAGUUAGAGGUGAAAUUCUCGGAUUUAUGGAAGAUGAACAAGUGCGAAAG